rnacentral:tRNA from 1 species
GGGGUUGGGGCUCAGUGGUAGAGCACUUUCCUGGCAUGUGUGAGGCACUGGGUUCUAUUCUCAGCACCACA